rnacentral:rRNA from 1 species
AACGAACGCUGGCGGCAGGCCUAACACAUGCAAGUCGAACGUGAAGCCAGAGCUUGCUCUGGUGGAAAGUGGCAGACGGGUGAGUAACGCGUGGGAAUUUACCCAGUGGUACGGAAUAACUCAGGGAAACGUGAGCUAAUACCGUAUACGCCCUUCGGGGGAAAGAUUCAUCGCCACUGGAUGAGCCCGCGUCGGAUUAGCUUGUUGGUGGGGUAAAAGCCUACCAAGGCUACGAUCCGUAGCUGGUCUGAGAGGAUGAUCAGCCACACUGGGACUGAGACACGGCCCAG